CCAGUUUGAUUCAAACGCUAAGUGGAGUGGAACAAUAUACUGAAUAUACUAAAAGUGGAACAAUACAGAGAAGAGUAACAUGACCCCCAAGCAAGGAUAUCACACAAGUUCAUGAAGCAUUCCAUAUAUUU
rnacentral:snRNA from 1 species